UACGGGGGGAGCAAGCGUUGUUCGGAUUUACUGGGCGUAAAGGGCGCGUAGGCGGUCAGCACAAGUCAGUUGUGAAAUCUCCGGGCUUAACUCGGAAAGGUCAAGUGAUACUGUCGGACUAGAGUACAGAAGGGGCAACUGGAAUUCUCGGUGUAGCGGUGAAAUGCGUAGAUAUCUGGAGGAAUACCGGUGGCGAAGGCGGCAUCCUGGACCGGCAUUGACGCUGAGGAGCGAAAGCCAGGGGAGCAAACGGG
rnacentral:rRNA from 1 species